UCCGUGAUUUCGGCCUCACGAUCAACCCGUCCAAGUGCCAAUUUGGGCUUGACUCUAUUGAUUUCCUCGGCCACAAAAUCACCAGUGACGGGGCAACACCCCUACCCGCCAAGGUAGACGCAAUCUGCCAUUUUGCCCACCCCGACACAGUCGAAGGCCUACAGGAAUUCCUUGGGAUGGUCAACUUCAUCCCUGCAGCAGCUCGUAUCAUGCGCCCUCUGUUCUUGCUGAUGGCUGGUAAGGGCAAGGACAUCACCUGGAAUGACGAGGCUGCGGCUGCUUUCGUUAAGGCCAAAGAUGCCCUGGCAGAUGCCACGAUGCUUGUACACCCUAAGACAGACGUCCCGACCGCCCUCACGGUGGAUGUGUCCAACAAGGCAGUGGGUGGGGUACUGGAACAGCUAAUCGAAGGCCGUUGGCAACCCUUGGCAUUUGUCAGCAAGCACCUUAGACCACCUGAACUGAAAUACAGCGCUUUUGAUUCGGGAACUUCUAGCGCUGUAUCUGGCGGUCCGGCAUUUUCGGUACUUUCUAGAAGGCAGGCCUUUCACCGCUUUCACCGAUCAUAAGCCUUUGUCCUUUGUCUUCUCCAAAGUCUCCGAUCCCUGGUCAGCUCGUCAGCAGAGACAUUUAUCCUACAUUUCCAAAUUCACAACAGAUAUCCAACAUGUCUCCAGAAAGGAUAAUGUCAUUGCUGAUGCACUUUCCAGACCAACCAUCCACAACCUGUCCUUGGGUGUCGACUACACGGCCCUAGCUGACGCACAGCAAGCCGACGACGAGCUGCCCAGCUACAGAACCGCAGUCUCGGGCCUGCAGCUCCAAGAUUUCUUGGUUGGUCCAGGGGCACACCUUGGGCGCCGUUGCAACGACCAUAUGAGGGACCGUUCCGAGUCAUCCGGAAUAAUGGAUCCACCUUUAUUUUGGACGUUGGGCACAGGGAACAGGUUUUCAUGAUGGACCGCCUCAAACCGGCCCAUUUAGAUCUGCAACAACCGGUCGAGGUUUCAACGCCGCGACGCAGAGGCCGACCCCCUAAGCGACGGCUGGCACAGCCUGCGGACCUUGGGGACUGUAUUGCCGGUUCUGGGGGGGGUUGUGUAGCGACUCACCGUCCGGUGAGGUGAACCGGCUCGGCAGUCCGGUCGCGUGGUGUCGGAGCGACGAGGCCCAAGAUGGUGGCGGGCCUCGUCUUUCCCCAGCGACGGGGAGAACCCGCGCGCGGGAAGGACUUGAUGACGUAGUACUUACGUCAUUGCCGGUUGCAUUGGGCGGGAACAGUCUCCCUUAAAAGGCCCGUGCAAGGCGGGAAAAUAAACCAGUUCUUGUUUGACAA